CUGAAGUCGUCAAGAGACUAACAGAUCUGUGUAAGGGGUACAGCAGAAUUGAUCUGAUCCUCAUAGCAUCUUCUUUUCUCUCGUUGCAGAUAUUACCAUCACAUGUCCAGGGUUCUUCUGAGGACAACCUGAGUUUAGUAUGCCCACCACCAAAUGAAGAUGAUGAUGGUAAUCAUGAUGUUGAUGAUGCCCAGAUUUCACCAUCAUCUGUCCUGGGUAUGUACCUUGAACUAACUCACUUUCUGAGAAACAAACUUGCUGGCUUUAAUAUAUAGAAACCUUAAUCUGGGUUCCUGUUAAACAUAUUGGGGGUGUGGUGAGAGCAAAUGAUUUUGCAAGUGUAUAGCUAUGAGCAGAGGGGCUGUAGAAA